rnacentral:misc_RNA from 1 species
UGAAUAAUUGCUUGGCUACGGCCAACUUUCCCUGAAAAGAAUUUCUGUCCAUAGUACUUGACCAUUUCAGAGUGCUUCACUUGUUUUUUUUCCCCCAUAUGCUUUCUUGAAGAAAAAUAUUUUCAUAUAUUUUCAUAUAUUUUUCAUAUUCUUGACUCGAUGUAGAUGGGAUUUAAGCUUUACUCGAAUCACUACGCAUAUUUCUUGGAAGGAACUUAUCAUCUUUGUUUUCUGAAAACAACCAGAGUAAUAGCUCAAUUUUUUACAUCUCCCUAAGAAACUUUUCAGGUUAUUCUGAUGGGACAACUUCCUCAAGCAAAAGUAAUUCCAAUCCCCACUUCAUAUGUUUAUGGAAAUGCUCCUGGUAGCAUUAUUUCGCAAUUUUUAUGCACACUAAUAUUGUCAUUCUUUCUGCCAAUACUAGUAGGAUUCUUAUGCACAAUAUUCAGUCUAUCUAUGCUAUUGGUAUAUGCUACAAUUGUAAAACAAUGUAUUAUGUUUUGAGGCUAGAUUACCUAGAGCAUGGAUCGCUCUGGUACAUGGAAUGAAAAUGGGAACGUAAAAUGUCCUUGUCUAGAAAUGUGG